UGAUCCUCAUACUUAGUAGGUCACAAGGUGAUUUGGGUGGAUCAUCAAGUGGACAAGGCGGGUCGGAUAACCGCUUAAAAGGAAAGCUUUGAAAAGGUGAUGGUAGCGAAUUGCGGAUGAUGAUCAAGUACCCGAAAGGAUCGAACACACAAAUGUCAAAGCUUCCAC